AACGAACGCUGGCGGCAGGCCUAACACAUGCAAGUCGAACGCCCCGCAAGGGGAGUGGCAGACGGGUGAGUAACACGUGGGAACCUUCCCUGUAGUACGGAAUAGCCCAGGGAAACUUGGAGUAAUACCGUAUACGCCCGCAAGGGGAAAGAAUUUCGCUAUAGGGUGGGCCCGCGUAGGAUUAGCUAGUUGGUGAGGUAAUGGCUAACCAAGGCGACGAUCCUUAGCUGGUUUGAGAGAACGACCAGCCACACUGGGACUGAGACACGGCCCAGACUCCUACGGGAGGCAGCAGUGGGGAAUAUUGGACAAUGGGCGCAAGCCUGACCCAGCCAUGCCGCGUGAGUGAUGACGGCCUUAGGGUUGUAAAGCUCUUUUACCUGGGAAGAUAAUGACGGUACCAGGAGAAUAAGCCCCGGCUAACUUCGUGCCAGCCGCCGCCGUAAGAC
rnacentral:rRNA from 1 species